GGAGGAAAAGAAACUAACAAGGAUUCCCCUAGUAACGGCGAGUGAAGAGGGAAGAGCCCAAGUUUGAAAGCUGGCAUUUGUAUUCAGAUGUCCGCAUUGUAAACUCAAGAAGUGUUUUCUGCACCGGAUCAAAUUCAAGUCCCUUGGAAUAGGGCAUCAUAGAGGGUGAAAGUCCCGUGCUUGAUUUGAAACCCCCGGGGCUUUGUGAUACACUUUCCAAGAGUCGAGUUGUUUGGGAAUGCAGCUCAAAAUGGGUGGUAAAUGCCAUCUAAGGCUAAAUAUUGAGGAGAGACCGAUAGUGAACAAGUACCGUGAGGGAAAGAUGAAAAGAACUUUGGAAAGAGAGUUAAACAGUACGUGAAAUUGCCGGAAGGGAAGGGUAGGAAGUCAGACAUGCCUUUGCAGAUUCAGCCUUGUGCUUUAUUGGACUUGGUGCAUUUUUGUAUUGGCUUGCUAGCAUCGGUUUGUAUUGACAGAUAUAGGCUUAGGGAAUGUGGCUUAGCUUUCGGGCAAAGUGUUAUAGCCCUUUGCUGAGUAUGACAAUAUAGACCGAGGAUUGCAGCGCACCCAUUUUAGGGCGGGCCUUUCGGGGCACCUUUGCGCUUAGGAUGCU
rnacentral:rRNA from 1 species